rnacentral:rRNA from 1 species
UGGGUAGUCCGCACGAGCGCACCUCAUCUUCAGUUGCUAACGCUUAGGGCGAGCACUUUGGAGAAACUGCCUGGGAUGACUAGGAGGAAGGCGGGGAUGACGUCAAGUCCUCAUGGCCCUUAUGGGCUGGGCUACACACGUGCUACAAUGGCGGUGACAACGGGAAGCAAAAGGGUGACCUGGAGCAAAUCCCCAAAAAUCGUCUCAGUUCGGAUUGUACUCUGCAACUCGAGUGCAUGAAGUUGGAAUCGCUAGUAAUCGUGGAUCAGCAUGCCGCGGUGAAUACGUUCCCGGGCCUUGUACACACCGCCCGUCACACCAUGGGAGUUGGUUUUACCUGAAGGCGGUGCGCCAACCUUUUGGAGGCAGCCGACCACGGUAGGGUCAGCGACUAGGGUGAAGUCGUAACAAGGUAGCCGUAGGGGAACCUGCGGCUGGAUCACCUCCUUUCU